rnacentral:misc_RNA from 1 species
AACCAUAGAAACCUGCGGAGUACCUGCGGAGGGAUCAUUACCGAGUAACCUGCAUCGCAGGAACUCCCACCCUUGAUUACAAGCUGUUGCUUCGGCGAGACGCGUUAGCCAUUGAUUCUUGCAAUCGAUGAGUGCUCGCCGAAGUUUUGAACUCUUAAUUUUGCUGUCAGAGGAAAAGCGAAUCAUAAAAACUUUCAACAAUGGAUCU